UGCAUGGGGAGGAUUCAGAUCAGCGUAGGAGAGAGACGGGUCCUCGUGGUGGGAGAGACCCCACGGCAAGAGAGAUUGCGAGUGGGAAUCAGUGGGAAGCAGUGAG
ensembl:miRNA